GACGGAGGAUGCAAGUGUUAUCCGGAAUCACUGGGCGUAAAGCGUCUGUAGGUGGUCAAAUAAGUCAACUGUUAAAUCUUGAGGCUCAACCUCAAAAUCGCAGUCGAAACUAUUCGACUAGAGUAUAGUGGGGGUAAAGGGAAUUUCCAGUGGAGCGGUGAAAUGCGUAGAGAUUGGAAAGAACACCGAUGGCGAAGGCACUUUACUGGGCUAUUACUAACACUGAGAGACGAAAGCUAGGGUAGCAAAUGGG
rnacentral:rRNA from 1 species